rnacentral:snRNA from 1 species
GGAUGAGGGCGAUCUGGUUGCGACAUCUGUCACCCCGUUGAUCGCCAAGGUUGAUCGGGCUGGCUAGGUGGGUGUCCCCUUCCUCCCUUACCGCUCCAUGUGCGUCCCUCCUGAAGCUAAGUACUCCCUUGGUCGAAGAGGACGGUUGAGAGUAUACGAAUAGCUGUGUUCCCUCACUAGGACCUCCAAACAAGCUCUCGGAGCACUGUUUAGCUCUGGCUUAUGGUAGUGGGGAUUGAACCUAAGACUUUGGAGCAUCAGGCAUGAAGAAAGUCUUUCUGCAU